CACUGUUCUAAUUCUGGCUGUCAUAAUCAUCUGUGGAAUCAUAUUCAUUAGAAGAAAAGGGUGCUUCAAAACAAAUUUAUCCAGAGAGAGGCCAGACAACAAACCAGAGGAAAAUGCAUAUUAUUACAUGUUUGACCCUGCACCAAGUGGACGUCCAGAGCGUGACGGCCCUUCAGCUCCAGCACAGAGUAGAGCAGCAGAGGAGCAGCAGGAUGAUCUUUGCUAUUCCAGUGUAACUUUCAUAAAGAAGCCAGAAGAGCACGACUACUACAACGUUCUCCCCAUUAAGACCAAAAGACCAAAAGAAAAGGACGAAGAAGUAACAGAUGUGGACUACACUGUGGUCAGAUUAAACAGCACCCAAAGAUUAAGAGAUCAACAGGCUGCAGAGUAUUCAUCAGCACUGUACAGCACAGUCAGGAAAAAGUAGAGUAUGAACAUGAAUGUGUGUCUUCAGUGUACAUAUUUAAUGUUUUUAGGAAGACAUUGCUGUUUAUGGCUGUGUUUGCAUUUUGAUAAAGAAUGAUGCAAUAGAUAUAACAAAUGUGUCCUUGGACUGUGGACUAUUAUAAAUGUUAGAGCUGUGUAUAUGUGUAACACAUGUAACAGUCGUUACUAGUUUAUUAGAAGUUAAUCUAGCUUUUACUGAAAUAUAAACUUAAUUCUAGAAGAAGCACUCUGAAAGCACAAACCACUCUCUGGGCAGUUUUAUUUUUAAGGGAAGAUUAUUACAUUUUGU